UAUUGGUUUCUGGGAACUCGUAAUGAUUAAUGGGGGCGGUUGAGGUCCUUCGUACUCAAGUGUUAGCAGUGGAAUGCUCAGACCACUUGAAGACGAACAAAGGCGAAAGCAAUGGACUUACACGUUCUCGUCGGUCAAGUACGAUAGCAUGAGGAGAGAAGGCGAUUAGUUACCGCCGUAUUUCAUGCCGUAAACGAUGCCACCUGGGGAUUGGGAAUCCAAGAAGCUUCUCAGGACCCUCCGAGAAAUCAAAGUCAUCAGGCUUCGGGGGAAUUACGCUCGCAGGAGUGAAACUUAAAGGAAUUGACGGAAGGCUGCCUCAAGCUGUGGAGUCUGCGGCUUAAUUUGACUCAACGCGGGGAACCUCACCAGGGCCAGACACAGCAAGGAUUGACAGGUUAAGUGGGCCUUUCAUGAUUCUGUGGAUGGUGGUGCAUGGCCGCUGAAAGUGAGUGAUGUGAGUUGUCUGCUUUAUUGCGAUAACUAACGAGACCUCCGCUGUUAAAUAGUCAGCUUUAGAUUUUUUCUAGAGUAUGGCUUCUUAACGGGACUACUGUAGUGAUACAGGGGAAGCGGGAGGCUAUAACAGGUCUGUGAUGCCCA
rnacentral:rRNA from 1 species